AGAGUUUGAUCCUGGCUCAGGAUGAACGCUGGCGGCGUGCCUAACACAUGCAAGUCGAGCGAUUCUCUUCGGAGAAGAGCGGCGGACGGGUGAGUAACGCGUGGGUAACUUGCCCUGUACACACGGAUAACAUACCGAAAGGUAUGCUAAUACGAGAUAAUAUGCUUUUAUCGCAUGGUAGAAGUAUCAAAGCUCCGGCGGUACAGGAUGGACCCGCGUCUGAUUAGCUAGUUGGUAAGGUAACGGCUUACCAAGGCGACGAUCAGUAGCCGACCUGAGAGGGUGAUCGGCCACAUUGGAACUGAGACACGGUCCAAACUCCUACGGGAGGCAGCAGUGGGGAAUAUUGCACAAUGGGCGAAAGCCUGAUGCAACAACGCCGCGUGAGCGAUGAAGGCCUUCGGGUCGUAAAGCUCUGUCCUCAAGGAAGAUAAUGACGGUACUUGAGGAGGAAGCCCCGGCUAACUACGUGCCAGCAGCCGCGGUAAUACGUAGGGGGCUAGCGUUAUCCGGAAUUACUGGGCGUAAAGGGUGCGUAGGUGGUUUCUUAAGUCAGAGGUGAAAGGCUACGGCUCAACCGUAGUAAGCCUUUGAAACUGGGAAACUUGAGUGCAGGAGAGGAGAGUGGAAUUCCUAGUGUAGCGGUGAAAUGCGUAGAUAUUAGGAGGAACACCAGUUGCGAAGGCGGCUCUCUGGACUGUAACUGACACUGAGGCACGAAAGCGUGGGGAGCAAACAGGAUUAGAUACCCUGGUAGUCCACGCCGUAAACGAUGAGUACUAGCUGUCGGAGGUUACCCCCUUCGGUGGCGCAGCU
rnacentral:rRNA from 1 species